rnacentral:rRNA from 1 species
AACGAACGCUGGCGGCAGGCUUAACACAUGCAAGUCGAACGCAUCGCAAGAUGAGUGGCAGACGGGUGAGUAACGCGUGGGAACAUACCCUUUUCUACGGAAUAGCUCUGGGAAACUGGAAUUAAUACCGUAUACGCCCUACGGGGGAAAGAUUUAUCGGGGAAGGAUUGGCCCGCGUUGGAUUAGCUAGUUGGUGGGGUAAAGGCCUACCAAGGCGACGAUCCAUAGCUGGUCUGAGAGGAUGAUCAGCCACAUUGGGACUGAGACACGGCCCAAACUCCUACGGGGGGCAGCAGUGGGGAGUAUUGGAAAAUGGGCGAAAGCCUGAUCCAGCCAUGCCGCGUGAGUGAUGAAGGCCUUAGGGUUGUAAAGCUCUUUCACCGAUGAAGAUAAUGCCGGUAGUCGGAGAAGAAGCCCCGGCUAACUUCGUGCCAGCCGCCGCCGUAACAC